UACGAAGGGUGCAAGCGUUACUCGGAAUUACUGGGCGUAAAGCGUGCGUAGGCGGUUUGUUAAGUCCGUUGUGAAAGCCCUGGGCUCAACCUGGGAAUUGCAGUGGAUACUGGCGAGCUAGAGUGCGGUAGAGGAUGGUGGAAUUCCCGGUGUAGCGGUGAAAUGCGUAGAGAUCGGGAGGAACACCCGUGGCGAAGGCGGCCAUCUGGACCAGCACUGACGCUGAGGCACGAAAGCGUGGGGGAGCAAACAGGG
rnacentral:rRNA from 1 species